rnacentral:rRNA from 1 species
GGAUUAGAUACCCUGGUAGUCCACGCAGUAAACGAUGAGUGCUAGUCGCCGGGACAAUAGUUUCGGUGUCGUAGCUAACGCAUUAAGCACUCCGCCUGGGAAGUACGGUCGCAAGAUUAAAACUCAAAUAAAUUGACGGGGGCCCGCACAAGCGGUGGAGCAUGUGGUUUAAUUCGAAGCAACGCGAAGAACCUUACCAGACCUUGACAUGGUAUGUUUGAAUUACAGAAUCGUAAUUCUUCAGUUCGGCUGGCAUACACACAGGUGCUGCAUGGCUGUCGUCAGCUGCCGCUG